UUGCUUUGGCAGCAGGUAUACUAAAAUUGGAAAGAGACAGAGAAGAUUAGCAUGGUCCCUGCACAAGGAUGACAUGCAAAUUUGUGAAGCGUUCCAUGUUUUU
ensembl:snRNA U6 U6 spliceosomal RNA